CGUGCGGUUCUAUUUUGUUGGUUUCUAGAGUCGCCGUAAUGAUUAAUAGGGAUAGUUGGGGACAUUAGUAUUCAAUUGUCAGAGGUGAAAUUCUUGGAUUUAUUGAAGACUAACUUCUGCGAAAGCAUUUGUCAAGGAUGUUUUCAUUAAUCAAGAACGAAAGUUAGGGGAUCGAAGACGAUCAGAUACCGUCGUAGUCUUAACCAUAAACUAUGCCGACUAAGGAUCGGAUGGUGUUAUAUUUAUAUUGACCCAUUCGGCAUUUCAGCGAAAGCCAAGUUUUUGGGUUCCGGGGGGAGUAUGGUCGCAAGGCUGAAACUUAAAGGAAUUGACGGAAGGGCACCACCAGGAGUGGAGCCUGCGGCUUAAUUUGACUCAACACGG
rnacentral:rRNA from 1 species